rnacentral:rRNA from 1 species
AUGAACGUUGGCGGCGUGUAUAAGGCAUGCAAGUCGAGGGAUCGGCCUUUUUUUCUUCGGAAUUUGAGGUACGGACCGGCAAACGGGUGAGUAACACAUUGGUAACCUACCUCCAAGACAGGAAUAGCCCACCGAAAGGUGGAUUAAUACCUGAUGGUAAUACGGGAACGUAAGUUUCUGUAUUUAAAGAUUUAUCGCUUGGAGAGGGGCCUAUGUCCUAUCAGCUAGUUGGUAAGGUAAAAGCUUACCAAGGCUAUGACGGGUAGCAGGCGUGAGAGCGUGACCUGCCUCACUGGGACUGAGACACUGCCCAGACUCCUACGGGAGGCUGCAGUCGAGAAUAUUCCACAAUGGACGAAAGUCUGAUGGAGCGACGCCGCGUGCAGGAUGACGCCCUUCGGGGUGUAAACUGCUUUUAUAGGGGAAGAAUUUGUGACGGUACCCUACGAAUAAGAGGUUGCUAACUCUGU